rnacentral:tRNA from 1 species
GGGCGUGUAGCUCAACGGCGGAGCAGGGCCCUUAUAAGACCAAGGUUGUUGGUUCGACUCCAACCACGCCCA